GCAUGUUGCUUGGUAUUCCUGUAUCAUACCAUACCGAGCAAAGCUCGAUACAUUGGUACGGUACGAAAUUUCAAUCCUUAGUUUUAAUCACCAUCACAAGCAUGUCUUCUAUGUGUUGUCAAAUGACUAACAGUACAAUUGUAUGUUCCAUUACAUGAUUAAAAUCAUUUGCAACUGAUAUAAAAUAUUUUCAGCAAGAUACCCCUAGUCCUUUUUCUAUGACAGUAAUACAACACAGAAACUCUUUUCCCCCGUAAUCAACACUAGCAGAUUGCUAGUGACUGGGGAUAAAAUAAGCAAUAUAUAUCUUUGAUUAGAUAAAUAGCUCAGUUCGUAUAUGAUUUAUCAAGUCUCUUUUCUUAUUGCACUUGGUCUUGUUUCUAUUUACUAGGGGCUCUCUAGAUAAACUACUGUGGUAUUUGUGGACCGAUCAUAUAUUGGAAAAAUAGAAGUUUUCUGUUGAUCAAAUUAUUGCACCUGAUAGAUCCUGUCAAAUAUAUGCAUAGGGAGAUCAUGGGGAGUGUAAUUUGUGAGGAUGUUGGGUUUUGUUUCUCUUCGCUAUUUUUGUUUGAAAUAUUGGAAGUUACUCAGAUUUGACUCUGUUUCAUGCUUCUUUGUAAUCUGUGUAUGGUUUUGUAAAUUUGUGGUUGCUGAAGCUCUAUGCAGAGAGAUGAGGGGUUUGGAGUUAAACCCUAGGAUUAUAUCCAGUUUGUAGGUAGUUUCCAUUAAUCCUAAUUUCUCAGUUUGGUAGUGGCUUUGAAUCAGGUUUGAGCUCAUGUAAGAUGAUCACUGUGCCUUGAAAUGCUUGGAAAUCAUGUGAGCUCAUGCUGUGGAAUGUCGGAGUGCAGGAGAUGAUGGGACAUGCUUCCGCUGAUGGCAAGGAAUUGCUGAUGAGCUUAUCAGGCCUCGGAGCUCAAAGUUCAUUGUCGCAGGUAGUGGUUGAGUGGAGGUAUGUUAAGCUCUAAGCUUCUUUUAAGUUUCAUUAUUUAUGGAAGUGAUUUUGAUACACAACAGCACAUCUGGAUGUGAACUUUAAGUGUACUUCAUGUUCAAUUAUUGUUGACUGUGGAUGUGAACAAGUUCAGAUUUCUGAGAUGUAAGUUACAAUUGACAUAAGAAAAUUACAUGCACCAUAACAAGAUGAUGACUAUGUAUUACUAGGAUGUAACAGAAGCACCCAUUGUUCUGCACACUGAUUACAGGAUCUCAACAAUGUCUGGUGAUGCAUCCAGGGAACUUUCCUGAGAGCAAUCUUUUCUUUUGAUUCAGUGAGUGCUGAUGAAGUUGUCAUUCUCCCAAUUUUUGCUGAUGAUUCGCCUUUUAUUCCAGGUACCAGAUCAUUCAAUUUAGGAGUGGGUGCAAAGCCACUCGAGCAGACAAACAUUUGAGGAGAAAUGAGAUCGACUUCUGCUUGAUCAUAUCACAAUUAUCCGAGAACAAAUCUUCUUGAGGAGAAAUGAGAUUGACUUCUGCUUGAUCAUAUCACAAUUAUCUGAGAACAAGUGUUUCACCCUGCUUAAGAUGAUCUUCAUAUUCAGUGACAAUUCAGCCUUUUCCCACUUAGUCUGAAUCAUCCAAGCCAGAAGGGUGAUUAAGGAAUCCGAUGUCGUGUUUAGUCCUCGAUGCCAAUAACUUAAAUAGCUCCUGCAGCUUGAUCACCUCUUCAGGUGUGAAGCCCAUCAGAUUUUGCAAGGAACAAAUGUUCUUUGAUGAAUCACUACUCUGUUCACCUUCCUUCGGUUCGUCGUUACUGUUUGUCCCGAUUGCAAGUAAUAUUUGAAGUGAGUCACUGAUUUCUUU